CCUACGUACGCCUUCGUAUUAAACGAGGUGCGAGGAUACGCAGACUCCGCACCGGCGGUAUACGUCUCGCCUGUGACGUUUACUCGUGAUAAAAAAUUCGUAGGAUCACGAUUGAUAAGGGCGGUAUAGAAAACUCGAAGAUAAACGAUCGGGUUCGGGUUGAUCCUCGUGAAUUUUCUGUAUAGGACAAUGAGAGAGUGACCUUAGUCAUUGGUCAAAUUUAUUGGAUCCUUCUGGACGGUGCGGUGCGCUUACUAUUAGGGGACCGACAGGAGGGGGAGGAGGAGACCGGAGCCAGCACUGAUAAAGAGUGGCGAACAUCCGAACAUGGUCCACAAGCAGAGGGUUCUUUGGCGAAUCAAUACCGCUGGGUACUAAAGGACGCCGAAGACUUUGUAUCGCACUGGAAUAUACUAUAUCAGGAUGGUUAACCGUACAAGGAUGGACUUUGACAUCCUUAACUCGAGCCACCUGAGGUUGCUGGUACUGAGGAUGCUGCUGCUCCAUCCAAGUCCCUGUUCACGUACACAUCAGUUUCGUACCGGCUGAGAAGUUAUAUGACGUCAACAUGAGAACGAGGUCGAAGGCGGAAAAUUAACCCUGUACCGAGUUCGAUAUUCAGCUUCAAUUCCCCGAAAAAUUCGCUGUAUGACGUACGCCGGAUUAUGAGAAAAGUUUACGCUAGAUGGCAGUCCAAUAGUUGCCUAUCUUAUGUGCAACUGUAUGUACGUGGAGUCUAUGUAAUAUCUGCAUAUAUGUACAAGGGGUCGGUGGUUACAGGGCGAGACUAAACCCUCUCUUCGCGAAGCCAUCGAGUCCACCCAAGCCCCCCGAAGCAGACAACUUCACUUCACUCAGAGUUCAUAUGAAGUUUGAUAAAUCGAGUGGCGCCUCUCGCGGCUGAGUCACGUACUAUAAAUAUGUGUACGCUUACUGCAGACGUAUCUACUUACGCGAAAGUCCUUUUCACGUGUAUCCCUGGCGUAUUCGAAAGCCUUUGAAGUUUCUCGCGAUAGCUUGGAUUUAAAUUAAUGAUACGAGGGAUAAAAAAUAAUGUUGACACGGCAUAUGUAUGGGCUAGACAUCGUUGCCACGGUUCUCGUUUACGAUCAGUUACUUGAAAUACGUAUCGUACUGUUUUCUGCUGCGCUUGAAUUUUCCUCACUUCCCUUUUGUCGCGUAAUGGCGCAACUCUGCGAUUUCUUGCCCUCGGUACGUCGCCGGCGCAACCUUAUCCGUUUCAUUGAAAUACGAGCUCAGAAAUCCCUAGGGUCCUACACUGCAUCCCCUUACUACUCGGCCAUUCCAGCCCACUCGUUCCACUACGACUCCGCCGCUCGUUUCAUUCUCUUUAAAAGGGAAAAACUUUUCUCGCUACUCGAUUCUAUUUAUUUACCAACCGUUCUGAUCAUGGGAGCCCACUCCAUAACUCUCAACCUUCUACCGCUUCCUUUUACCCCGGUUAACUUCCUGUUCCUGUAACUUUAGCAAGUAUACAUGAAUCGUUUCGAAGCAUGGCCAGAGUAAGGAAUAAUGUUUACACCGAAAAACCCUUGUUUUUAAUCCUUAAAAUUAU